UGAACAGCAACUUUUGAGCUUUAUAAACUAAUAUUAAGGUACAUUAAAAGACAAGACAGCCUUUUUUUACCAGUAAAUUUUAAUGCUUUCUCUUGGAAAUAUCAAAAUAAAAUCUUUGAGGUGAUGUGGGCAUCCUUGUGAGUGAAACAAUGCGGUAUUUCCAAAAUGAAUCAUUUAUUUCAGUCAUCCACAUUUGACUUCUAAAAAAAAAAAAAAAGCAAUGCCGAAAUGGAGUUUGUCUGUCAGUGCUGUCUGUAAGCACUUUGUGAAAAUACGAGAGCAAGACAUCUCGAGUGCGGAUGCCUGCAUUAAGUGAUGAUGCAUAGACUCACAAGGUGUCUGGCCUGAAACGCCUUCUGUAAGACAUGCUGACAUCUGCCAGUGCUGCUGCUUUAUCGGUACCUGGGAGCACUCCUCGCUUCCAAACAUCAGUGCUUAAUAUCAGUGACACGUGUUUGAGAAUGUGGCUCUGCUUCCCCUCAGCUGCAAUCAUUUCUGGACCACGAAUGAUUUUGCCGCUUGCACGGAGGUUCUUCAUGAGAACCUGCAUGGCCUUUGCCUUUUCCCAUGCUGCUGUUACAGUGCUUGAGAAACGAAAAUGUUGCCUUUUGCUUGUCGGGGUGACAGAAAGGAGCUAAAGCAGAACCUGGGCUGGAAUAGUUCAAUAUGCAUUCUCAUGGCUACACGCUUUGAACCCAGCCCCAGAACAAGGCUUUUUCAAGCUUUCUUUGGGGGCACACUUGCUCCUUCCCCGCCUUGCGGGCUCGUUCUGAUCCCUCUCUCUCUCACGGCUCCAUCCUGAUCCCUCUCUUCCUCGACUCUGAGUCACAAGAGCAAUAACCCUGCCUGCUUCGACCCAGUCAGUGCCUCAGCUGUUCGGGUAAAGCCCACGCUCCCGCGGGACUCACGUUUGAGUACAACCCCCGGAUUGUCAGGGCUCCGGCUGGCAGUGCUGCCGAGGGGACAGUCUAAGGCUCUAUUUUAAUCUUCUGGAGCCCAGCCAAGCACUGGAACGGAGCUGCCAGCACGAGGGGGGCCCUCCUGCUCACUGCGCCUGACCUCCCAUCAGGAGAGGUGCUGCUGUGUUCCUUCUCAAACUACUAGGGCCCUUUCAUUGCGCUGACCUCCCAUCACGAGUGCUACCAAGGAUCCAGCUUCGACUACUGGGGGCUUAACCCUGGCUCCGCUCCAGCACACGAGCCGCACGCUGCCUGUCUCCAGAUGGACGACGCACCGCGCUCAGCUGGACGGGUUCUGCUGCAGCAGCCGUGGAGCAACGCCGCCUUCUCGCUGCACCUCACUGAGCUGGACGUUCCCCUGCACAGCCCUCAGCUAUGAUGUGUCAUUGUAUUUGGGUGGAAGCGUGUGAUGAGCACUCCAGCACGGCGAUGGGCCCAGCCUCAAUCCACAGCGCCGGUGUCAGCUUGACAAGCGCUACACCCACGGGCAGUAAUGAAGCAAACACGGCACUGCAGUGCGCUGGGCCCAGGGGGCGGAGGAGAUCCGAGCGCACCUCACCCCGUCCUGGCUGCACAGGGGUGCGCGGCAGCGCGCGGCACUUUGCACUCAGGCCGGCUUUGCUGCUCAGGCAGCGCACAGCGGAACCGCGCUUCCAGAGCAGCGCCCCCCCCGCGGCUGACACGUGCAGUCCGGCACGGCCAACUGCACCACUGCGCACGCGCACGGCUCCGGCAGCGCGUGCCCGCCGCUUCGCUUCCCGCCGCUUCGCUUCCCGCCGCUUCGCUUCCCGCCGCUUCGCUUCCCGCCGCGCUGCGCCUCGCGUGUGCAACAUGGCGGCCCCGCGGGAGCCUUGCCGCGCCCCCUGCCGGGCAGCGUGAGGUGUUGGCGUCGCCGGGCCGGGCCCGGGGCGCCCCGCGGUUGCUUUUAAGGUACUCAUGUGCCCCACGGGCUUCGCGGGAGAGCUGACGCGAGUGUCCGUAAAUGAGUGUGACGAGGGGAACCCUGUGGUGCUUUCCCAGCCCCGAGGCCCUCAGCCGUGGUGUCGCAGAGGGCCGUGCUCCAUGUGGGGUUGCACCGCGGGAACUCACUGUGGGAACUCACCGUGGGAUCGCUGCCUCUGCGCCGGCUGCUGCUGCUGCUGCCUCCCAGGAAAGAUUUAUCGGACAGAGGUGACGUCUUUGACCCAGUUUUGUCCUGCCGGGGUCUCUCUGAACGCCUCCACGAGCUGCAGAGGGAGAGGAGUUGUCCCAGGCACCAGCACAUUCAGCAUCACAGAAGGUGAGACUGGGAACCUGCGCUCUGUGCUUGCACGUCCAGCUCCAGAGGCCAACACCUGCAGAAUCUGGGUCUACCCAGUUGAGGAACCAGACUAAACCAGACUGUUACACUCAACUACCAGGUAAUAGUUCUAAUAAAUCUUCCCAUUUGCCAGUCAAGUUAUUUGUAAACUAUCUAGAGCUAGGGGAUUUUUCUGCAAAUAGCUGGUGUAGUGAUCGUGCUAACAAAUUGUACUCGCGUGGUUAUCACAUCUGGACCUGCCUGCUUGGCAGGAGCUGUGCAGGAAGCCCUGCAGCCAGUUCAGAGGCCAGUGACCGGAGCAUACCUUUUAUCACAGGAGCCAGUAUAAAGGAGCCAGGAUUUUUUUUUUUUCCUUUUCCACUUCAGCAAAGGAUUGUUUUAAAAAUACAGUUCCAAAAACGUGAUUAUUUUUUGUAAAUUACAGAAUAUAGAGUUUAAAGUGUGCUUGCAUCCUGCUGGCCGUGGCCUGCCCCACUCGCCUUGCACAGGUGCUGGGGCCGGGGCCAUGGCUGGCCGAGGCUGAGCCCGCUGGCCUUAGUGUCACUUCCAGCCCCUCAUCCCUCGGGGAGCAGCUGGCCUAGUUAACUCAAACGCUUGGAAACCUGACAAGUGUUGUUCUGGCGGCUUUACUGUUUGCUUCCUUUUCUAUGAUAGCGUAGAGAUAAAAAGAGUAGGCCACUAAUGCUAGUCCUGUUCUUUCCACUGUUGUCUGAAACAUAGCCAUGUUGAUGUUCAACUUGCAAUCUAAAUAAAUAGGAGAGUUCUUUUUAAGAGACAAAGGGAAUGACUUAUGCAGUAGCCUGACAAGAAAGCUGGAAAUGGAACUCAUCUGCUGAACCACUGAUCCCUCACCUACUGAACUAGGCUUAAAAAUGUGUAAUGCAUAUUCACCUCGCUUGGGAAAGGGAGCAUCAGAAUCUUUGUAUUUAUUUCAGACAGGUUUUAUGUCAUUUCUGCGCUGUGUUAAUGGGUAGCUAUGAAUCAUCUGGUUCUAGUUCCUGGUAUUUCUUGUUAUCAUCAGCGAUGCUCUUCCUGGUGGUACCACCUAGUUUGUCCCCUACAUUAGAGGCUUGGAUGAUUCAUAGUACUCAAGUUACUUUGUCAAGUCAACCCAAGUUUGGUAAUUUCCAGCUGGAACUGAUCUGCUUUCCAGCUUGAACAGCAAGCAAGGGAACAUCUUGGGAACAUCUUGGUCCGGAUAUACUUGUAGAUGAAUCUGGGAUCAGUAUCUAACCAUCCCAGUAACACAGCAUAGGCAAUGUAAGAUACAAGGUACAGAAUAAUUCUUAAAAAAGACAAUGCCAUUGUUUUCAUUAUGUCUUAAAAAGUAAAAUAGUCAAGUUACAUAUUGUUUUUCCUGAGACAAAGGAAAUGCAGACACUUUGAGUUACAGCAAUAUGAAGUAUUUAGAUGGUAGUCACUAGCAGGAAAGUAACAUAACACAUAGUGGUGUUCAUCACUGAAAUAAUCUGCAAACAUCAACCCUCAUAAUCCCUCUUUCAAAGACACAUGGAGGCAGAAUUAGUUUAAAAUAGACUAUGCUGUGACUUGUCCAAGAGCCUGCAAUAAGUCAGAGGCAGAUGCAACACAAACCCAGGCUUUCUCAGCCCUCUUAAUGUGCACCUGGUUCCCCCCCGCUGGUACCGUGACUUUGUCCUGGGCUUCCUCUCCUGGCCAGGUGCUGCCAGGUCGAGCUGGUAACCUGUACUGGGAGGAGCUGGGAAAGAGUGGAAUUGCUGAGACCUAUGUUGUGAGCUGGUAACCUUGAUUCUUCCCCUUUUCUGCCAUUCUUCUGCAUCUACAAAAAGGGGCCUCGCCAUGUCGCAAUGAGACAAAUGCAAGAAAAAAAAUACUCAGUGCAUUUGAAAGAGAAGACAUGAAGAGCACCACCCACAAACCGUAUUUCAAAAGGUCGGCGCUCUAGAGUCAAGAAAAGGAAAUGCAUUAGGUUUCCAAUCUCUUCUUUUCGGUAUCCUUUGUAAUCGGUACUGCUUGUAUCUAAAAAGAAGCUGUGUAAGUGGCCAGAACUCUUCUUGUGAAAGAGUUCCUUGAGACUUGAGUAGUGUCACAGUGCUUGGCAUUGCCGGAGCAUGGAUUCCCAGGAAUUCGGUGAAGUUCCACUUGCAUCAAAAGCAGCUUGGGUCCCAGAUGCACUCUGAUUUGUUUAAGGUGCUUGGCAACAUCGUAAUGAGCAGCUUUAUAAAUAACUCAGUAUUAUUAUCUUUAUGUCUUAGUAGUAAUAUUGUUGUUUUUAUGGUACUGUAAUGUUUAUUAUGGCUAUUUUAUGGUGUAAUUUGAUUAGAGUGUUACCCUAAUGUCACAUAGAAAAGGGGAGGGCAUUCCUGUCAUACUUCUGAACACUAACUCUUCUGUUUUCAUCUGAGGAACCCAAAGCCCUUUGGCGAUCAUUAAUUGUCCCACACCAUAUAAGUAAACUCAAGCACAGAGAACUUAAAUGAUUCCCCCAAGCCCACACAACAAGCCAGUGGCAAAGCUGAGAGUUAGACCUGACUCCCUGACGUCUGCGUUAACCACUAGAAAACAUUCCCGUCACAGCAACAGCAGGUAUAAUAGAAAUGAAGAUUGCCACUUUGGAGAUUUUUAGGUCAGUUGUAAUGAGAACACUCAAUGUUUUAUAAACCCUUUAGGUUUCCUGUUUAGAACUUGAUCAAACCAUAAACUGCUCGUUUAAAUAAGCUCCAAAAACAAAAUGUACUAGAAAGCUGAGGAGCAAGGAGACAACAUCCAACAGCAAACUUAUGUUUAUUGCUCAUUUGCUUUCCUUGCUGGGAUGAUGCCGUGUACUUAGAUUAAAUAUGCAGAGCCAAAUUUAUCCCUAGGGUGUAAUUUUUUUGGACUCUGUAUGACACCAGGGUGAAUUUGGCACAUUUACACUCAAAAUUAAUAUGGGUUUUACGAAUAUUUGGAACGGUGUCAAAAUGUUGUGGGUUAAAUUCUGUUCUCAGUUCCACCAGUGCUAACCCAGGCUAACUCCGUUCUGAUCUCGCACUGGAUUUACAGCAAUGUAAUUCCUCUGGGCCGGUGUUCAGCUGGUGUGAAUUAGUUUAUCUGCACUGGAAUGCAGGCAGCUCAGCUGCUUUACACCAGCUAAGAAUCUGACCCGCAUUUAAGUAGAAUUACUCCUAAAAUACACAAUGGCACAUGCAACGUGAGUUGGGUCCACUGUGCCCUUAAUUUGCACUGAGGAAAUGCAACUGAAGCUGUUGCUGCAGCUCUGCUGCGCGGCCACGCACGCUGCUGUCACAAACCUGAACCUGACCCCGCUCUGCCUUCGGAUGGAUGCUUUGUAAGUUUUAAAAUAACGCUGCAGUAAGUGUUACACAUGCUGUGUGUGAGUAAAUCAUCCCAAACUGCUGCAAAUCAUCGUCUGUUCUCUUGUUUCAAAGCAGAGAUUGGGAAGUGCUUGGUGAUAUUUGGGUUCAGUUCAGAUAUUCCAGAGCUUGGAUGGAUGGAUUGUUUCGAUUCUUUCUUUGAACUCCUUUCCCACCCCUGCUAAAAGAAACAGACAGAUCUGCUCAGCUAAGCGACAGACAAGUUGGAGACAAUGCGGCACUGCCCUCCCAGUACCACCCCCCACAUGCCAAAUUUGCAGACAUCUGCUAGCUGGAGCACAACUCCGCGGUAAUAAAGAAGUGCUGGCAUUCAUGUGAUGUACUGCCUUCAGCAUUCACAAAUGACUGAAAUUAACCUCUGUUCUAUGGGCCUUAACUUGGUUUACGACUGGGGGUCUUUUGUUUUAUACCACCAUACAGAGGUGCCUUUGCCAUGCUAAAGAUUUAACUAAAUUAUAAUGAAUGAUCCUCACCAGCACUGUGCCCCUAAUUAGAACAAGUUGCACAGACAUAUUGUCUCCUUGAUUUCCUCUGUUACAUUUCUCUCACUCUCUUUCUCUGCCUGAGACACAUGGGUCCCAUUAAACAUUUUAGCAUUUAAUGUGGUUCCCUUAAAUGACUUCUCAAGUUUUCAAGUUCCAUUUAGAAUUGUAUGUUACUCUCCUGACUGUGGUUUUGAUUUUGUUAUGUUUCAUGAGUUCAGCCAAAGCAGUUGCUCUUCUUCCCCCUCUAGUGGGGAGUGCCUCCGGUCUGGGUAAGCCUGCAUGGAAGUGUGGCAGAACACCAGCUUACACAUUUCGUAACGUUCACACAAAUCUCUACACUUGUGUUUGAAAUAAGGGGUAGAGAAAUAGCUCCUCGUGGCUGCUUUACGCAGUCAUGGUUAAGUGUGGUGUUUCUUCAGUACGGUACAGUUGAUCUGUGAAAGAAAACAAAGCAUCUGUGAAGUUAGUUUAUUAACAGUACAUUUCUAUUUAUUGCAAACGUCCCUGUAAGGCAUAAAGCUUCUUAUUCAAUCUGUAGGUAUCUCCAACCUAAAUGGAAAUGGCUGACAAAAAGCUUUCAUAACAUGUGGUUAUAUGUACAGUAUGCAUUAUCCCCGUUGCGUGUACCUAUUGUACAGAUGGAGUGCUGAAGGACAGAGACUUUGUUGUUGAUCACAUUGUCUGUAAUGCACUUCCUCAGCAACGGCUGCAAUGAGAAUACCAAAUUGUCCUCUGGUCUCUGCCCCAGCUUUCCAGGAGUAUCAAGUCAAGUUCAAGGUCUGGACCCUAAUCCUCGAGGUAUUUUGUGGCCUGGGCCCAAGGUGUCUCAUACAGCUUGUCUGCCUGACUCAAAGCUUGUCUGUGCCACUGUAGUUAUCCCAUUUCAGAUCUGUCUGGAUAAUUCUUUUGGAAUAAGAAUGCCUUGUUUCCCCCACUCUUUCCUACUUAGCAUAUGCACUUUUGAUUUGGCAUGCAUCUAUUUAACAGAAAAGGCAUUCUUAUUCCAAAAUAAGCACCUCUUACUAGUGUCAAAACACUAAAAAAUAUG